ensembl:lncRNA
AUUUGCACUUCCAUACUUCUUAUUUUACUACUGGGCAGCAAACAUUCAUAGCAUUUUAUAUUGGAGUCAGUCGCAUUAUGGUUUUUCUCACUGGGUGCCGGCAUGGGUUGAAAUAGAAUGUGAGUCUUGUAGCCGAGUUUCUUUACAUGCUCUGUUAUGUUCUUCUAUUCCUAUAAAAUGUUGGGUCUGUCUCCUAUAUAUAAAAAUCCUUCUUUUUUAUCUUCCAUUUCAGAUGGAGCCUUCGCAUUAUGGUUUAGAAGGGGCAUUGUAAAUAUUAAUGAUCUCUUCCACGAUAAUACUUUUGUUACUUUUUCAUACCUAUCAGACAAAUUUAACCUUCCGAAAACUCACUUCUUUAGAUAUCUUCAGACUCGCGAAUUCAUAAGAAAUAAAUUCUCUCACUUUCCUCAUGCACCUCAGAAACAAGAGAUUGAUCAAGUUUUAGAAAUAAAAGUCUCUAAAGGUGCUGUUUCUAAUAUUUACAAAACUAUUUUUUCUUUUACUGCUCACUCAAAUUCCUCACCCAUGUCUAACAUUAAACAGAACUGGGAAUCCGAUCUUAAUCAUGUCUUUACAGAUGAAGAAUGGUCAAAGGUCCUUCGUCGAGUUCAUACCACUUCUAUUUGUGCUCGUCACUCACUAAUACAGUUUAAGCUCUUGCAUAGAAUAUACUGGACGAAAGCUAAACUAUCCAAAAUUUACCCGGAUCUCGAUCCUACGUGUGACCGAUGUCGACAAGCCCCGGCUACUCUCUUCCACACUUUUUGGCUUUGCCCAGCAUUAACCUCUUUCUGGACUUCAAUCUUUAAGUCAAUCUCGAAUGUUUUCAUGUUAGAUGUUGAACCCUGCCCCUUAGUGGCAAUAUUUGGUCUUAAUCCCUCAAAUGUAUCUUUAUCAUCUUUACAGUCAAAUGCUUUAGCUUUUUGCUUAAUAAUUGCCAAAAGGCUUAUACUGUUGAACUGGAAAAACCCUCUUCCACCCAGCUACUCUCAUUGGAUGCACGACUUGUUGCAGUUUAUUCAAAUAGAAAAAAUUAGAUUUACCAUGAUUGCCAGAACAGAACAAUUUCAUAUGAUUUGGCAACCUUUUCUUUUGCAUUUUAAAAAAUAA